UUAAUGCCUUUUAUAAAAUGUAUUCUGUCUUAUUUAUUAAUCAAAUUAGUGCCAUAUGUUUAAUCGCUGUAUUAUAUCGGUCAUCCGCGGCUGUCUUUGAGUUUCAUUGCGUUUAAAUAAAUGAACACAGCUGCUAAUUAGUCUGAUUAAACUCUAUCUGUCACGUGACGUGCCAUAGACCUUCGAUCCGUUUUAUAUUAUUAUUAAUUUCAGGAUCAAUGAUGUAAGUUGUAUUUGUAGUAAAAUCAUGGUAAUCACGACACUUACAAUAGUAAUAAAUGAAAUGUGAAGUUAAAACACAGUAAACAGGACAUUAGUAACUGUAGUUUUACUAUGGUAUAUUAAUAAUCAAUACAACAAUACAAUAAUCACCAAACCAGCUAUGUUUGUAUCACUGUAAUGUUAGUGUUUUUAUGUGCUUUUAUAUGACAGAUAUCACAGUAAUCAUAUGUUCUGUACCAUGCUUUUAAUACCUUUUAAUGUAAAUCCCCCCCCAAAAAAAUCAAAUUAAAAAUAAAUAAUAAAACAUGUAUUUUUCCAUUUUGCAGUUCAUUCAUAUCAGUUUAUAUUUAUAUAUAUAUAUUUAUAUAUAUUUAUUAUAUCUAAAUAUUUUGCUCACAGAUCAUUAUUAACAUUCUUUAUAUAAUUCAAUUUUAUUUACUCUCCCCAUUUUAUUAUUUUUAUUUUUAUUUUUAGCUGAAAAGACAUAAAGGCAGUCAGCCCAGUGGUGUUUCUGGAGAGGGAUUCCUUCAGAAAUGGAGAAGACAGAAAGCUGCGGAGGCAGAUAUAUGCAGCAGUCUAAAAUAUCAAGCUCAACAGCUCACUCAAGAGCCAACCCUCACAAACCUUCCUAAAAACUAAAAGAGCUAUUACUGAGUCUCAGCGAAUCUUGCCAUGAUCAGCUCUUCCCAGAAGAGAAGGAAGACCAAGGAAAUGAUUUGCUCAGGAUGAGGAAAGAAGAUGGCCAUCUUGUGCUCAAACAAACAGAAGUCCUCUGGUAUGUGUGUGUUGAAGCAAUGCUGUGUUAUACAACAUUUUAUGA